rnacentral:lncRNA from 10 species
UUCACCAGCCCAGAAGAUGUUCUGAAAAUUGACAGUGAUCAUGAUACAGCCUGGGUCCAGAAUACUUCUCUGUACGAUGGGUGUGUAUGAAGACAGACAGACCUGCCAGGCUCCAUCAGGGAAGCUCUGUGUCUCCUUCACAUUGGAGGGACAGAAUAUUAUCUGGAGAUGGAGAGUGCUUCUGAGAGUCUCUAGCACAGGGGUCCACAGCCUCGGAUGGGUCCCAGUCCCAGUCUGUGGCCUGUUAGGAACCGGGCCACACAGCAGGAGGUGAGCAGUGGGCAAGUGAGCAUUACCACAUGAGCUUUGCCUCCUGUCAGAUCAGCCGGUGGCAUUAGAGUCUCACACAAGCAUGAACCCUAUUGUGAACUGUGUGUACAAGUGAGGGCUCUAGGUUGGGUUCUCCUUAUGAGAAUCUAAUGCCUGAGGAUGAGGCAAAACAGUUUCAUUCUGAAAUCACCCCCGCUGCUCUCCAUCUGUGGAAAAAUUGUCUUCCAUGAAACCGGUACCUAAUACCCCAAAAUUUGGAGACCACUGCUCUGGUAGGCCUGCCUACUGGGCUUACUUUGCAUAUAUGAAAUUAAUAAUUAUUCCUCAUUUCAGAAAUUUAAAAUGUUACAUUUAUACUUCUUUCAUAUUUCCAGCAUUGUACCAAAGGUCAGUCCUAGAAUGCUUUGUUUUAGCUGUUUUUCUUUCCUUAGGCAGAGAACAAAGAUUGGAGGCUUCCUCCUGAGCGCACUGGGAUGUGUCAUUACGUUGGGGCUGCCGAGUGUCCUUACCUACUGCUACCCAGACGCAAAGGCAGGAAGCCACAGGCCAUUUGGAUUAUUGCACUUUUCAAAGUACACGGGAAGACUUGAGACCAUCCAGAGAAUGACACAAACAAAAGGGCAGAAUGCCUGAUGGAAAAGAGGCCCCAUGAGGAAAGGCUAAAGAAUCAGGACUACUGAAGCUAAAGAGGAAAACUCAAAUAACGAAACAUUAUUGUUUUCAAAUAUGUGACAGGUUUUUGGCUAGAAGAUAUCACUCAUACAUUUCCUGAACACAUGGAGGCCAGGGCAGACAAAAGUAAAGAUGGAAACCAGACCAGCAAGUAAGUCCUUUGACGGCCUUCCAAGUGCCUAGAGAUGAAGGCAAAGCUCCCUCACAGUUGCAGGCAACGUCUCAUCUUUUGUCACUUCUGGCAUGACACUGCACAGCCACAGCCAGUGCGGUAUCUCUGCCUUUGCCCGCAUCCUGCCUUCUUUCUCCCUGGUCGGUAUCUCCUCACCUCCACCAGCCUGGCCAGCUCCUUGGUCAUUGGUGUUGUACCCACCCAGGCAUGUGCUUGGCUCCCCACAACCUCAGAAGCUCUCAGUACAGUGCAGGACCAGAGGGUGAAACCAAUGAAAGGUUGUUGAAUAAAUGAACAAUUUAAAGAGGAAAUGUUUAAUGCUGAGAACAAAAACUAGGAAAGAGAUACCUAAUAAGAUAUUUUGCAGUGAAAUGCCAUGUGUUGUGCUCUAUAACUUCCUCUCUACCUCCCUAACAUAGUGUUUAGUGAAAUCUAUAGUGCUCACUUGUACUUUGUGGAGUCUGGGGGUGAAAGCUUGUAGAUAUCCAACAUUUGCAUAACACUAGAAAGUCCAUUUUGCCCUCUCUGAGAGAAUGUAGUGAUCCUGCUGUUUAUAUCUAGAUUCAGAUCCCUCAAUAAGAGUUCUCUUGGUCUCGUUUUCCUACUGAUCCUAAGAAGCAUUCAUUAACUAGGCUGUAUCUGCCUAGUACAGCUCUAUCCAUUUGGUAGAUCUGCAAUAGAUUCUUGGGAUCUUGUGGUAAUUAGACAGCAAGCCUAUUCUGGAAUAGUGGCAAUUUAGUUAUUCUGUUACACUGACCAAGCAUGUGUUAGCUCACUGAUGGCCACCUAUGUAGGUAUUUAGAUGCAUUGUCCUGGGAGGAUGGGGAUGGAGAGUCUCCUGAAGUCCUUCGGCGUCUCCACUUGACCUUGGCAGGGAUCCUGGGUGAACUUCAUGAAGACCUACAGGGAACUGGCAGCUGGCCUCUUCUCCUAUGAGAGAACUCUCUCAAUAAGCCCUGUUAUUUUCCUGAAACCAUGUGACAUUAUAAGAGGCUGGAAGGGAGGGUGAGAAAUCAUUUAUUCCACGCUUCUCUGGGCAGAACAGCACUCACCCAUUGCAGAAGCCUCUAUAUCCUCCCAUUAUGUCUUAUCUUUUUAUUUGUUUCCAAGCCACAUUCAUCUCCAAAGCAAAUCUUUGUUGCGUUUACUUGAGAACAACACAGUUUCCCAUUGCAUCUCUCACCCCCUUGCCAAAACUAUGCAAAUUAAGAAUAAUCUCGAUCUGGUUGGGGUUGUUUGUAACUGAAAAGUAAUUGGGUUAUAAUAUGCUAAUUAUUAUGCUAAUAUUUGGCUCCAAAGAUAAAGAGACCAGAAAUGCUAAUGUGAGAAUCCUCCCACAAAGAGGAUUACGAGCAGGAAGUUUACAGGAGGAGAAGAAAGGAGAGGACCGGAAUGGAGCAAGGACUAGAAAUGCAGGCCCUUUAGAAAUAAUGAAGGGGUUUUGUUGGUUUGUUUCUUUAUACUUUCUUUUAUUUUGCAAAUUUUCUAUGAUUACUAUGUGUUACCGUAACACUUAGCAGGAAAAAUAAUGUAAUGUCUAAAGAGAAAAAAGAAUGAGGAACUUUUAGAGCAGAAGUAGAUGAAGGAAAGGCCGAGGCUGGCCUUACCAGAGCCUCUCCCAGGAAACGGUCAGGCACUGACCAGAUCCGGCUUCCCAAGACAGGAAGAGUUGGUUUCAGGGAAAAUCCGUGGCUGGGAUCCAGGGAAGUUGAUGAGUCUGCUUUCAGGUGGGUGAGAGAACCGUGGCUACAACCUAGGCCUCAGGACCACUGGGACUGAGAGGAAACGGAAAUAAUAUCUUCAAACCUGGUGGAAGAGGUCAUUGCGAGCGUGUUAGAACCAUACCCUGUCAAUGUUUCUCCAUUCAUUUCUUCAAGGAAUAUUCUACAAGUAUCUUACCCUCUCUGUACAGUACAUUCUGCUAGUCUCUGUGGAUACUGGGAAUGAAAGAUGCUUCCCCAGUCUGAAGAGCAGGGGCUUUCUCUGUGAGCCUGCGAAGGAGGCAGUGCAGGCAUCAACCUUCUGAGGUCUUCACACCCCUCCUCCUGGCUGACCGGGAGCACUCAGUGAUGAGGGAGGGAGAGGGUGCCCUUGGCUGGUGGGUGGUGCCUUGAGAAGUGCUGGAGAAGAGCUGGGCCCUCACUUGGGAAAUCUUUUCUUUUUUCUUUUUUUUUCCAGACAGGGUCUCACUCUGUCACCCAGUCUGGAGUGCAGUGACAUGCUCAUGGCUCACUGCAGCCUCAACUUGCCAGGCUCAAGUGAUCCUCCCACCUCACCCUUUCAGGUAGCUGGGACUACAGCCUCGUGCCACCACGCCCAGCUGAUUUUUGUGUUUUUUGCAGAGAUGGGGUUUCACCAUGUUGCCCAGGCUGGUCUGGAGUUCUGGGCUCAAGCAAUCUGCCCACCUCAGCCUCCUAAAAUGUUGGGAUUACAGACGUGAGCCACAGUGCCAGGCCUCACUUGGGAAAUCUUAAGGCAAGAAAUAAGGUGAUGAGCUGAAAAGGGCCUUGAAUUGUGGCUCUGACUGUGCUCUGCCCCAGGGCGUGUUCCACCCUGAACUUUCAUCGAAUCCUUUCCACAUGUGAUUCCACCCAUGGGAAGCUCUGAACUUCUGUUAAAAGCGGGUAGUUGUGGCCAGGUGCAGUGGCUCGUGCCUGUAAUCCCAGCACUUUGGGAUGCCAAGGCAGGUGGAUUACCUGAGGUCAGGAGUUCGAGACCAGCCUGGCCAACAGGGAGAAACUCCGUCUCUACUAAAAAUACAAAAAUUAGUUGGGCGUGUUGGUGCGCACCUGUAGUCCCAGCAACUUGGGAGGCUGAGGCAGGAGAAUCGCUUGAACCCAGGAGGUGGAGGUUGCAGUGAGCCGAGAUCGUGACAUUGUACUCCAGCCUGGGUGACAGAGCAAGACUCUGUCUCCAAAAAAAGAAAAAAAAAGAAGCGAGUAGUUUUUUCCUUUCCUCAUCACCCAUGUCUCUUUUUGACACUCUUGAAACCCUGUAAUGAAUUCUCAAAAAUAUUAAAGCUCUCUUUAACUUCUUUUCUUCCCCUACCUUCACCAGGAGGUCACACAUCAUUACUGGCAGCAGAUGGAUCCCAUCUGUACCACAGAGGGCAAAGAUUUUAGUCAGUGAGUUACAGACACCAUGGAUGAAAACAGGAGCCCAUCAGGGAAUCACGUAAUGAUCACAGCUAAAGGAAGCCCUGUCCUGGGAGUACUUUGCUGAUGCCUCAGCUUCUUGCUUCUAAGCUCCUGGCCCCAUUUGGUCUGAGGCAAAGAACAUUCAGAUUGGUGCCAUUUAUUUGCACCAACGUGCGGAAGAGGCGACAGAAGUGUUGGGAGAUCUCUGAAGAACCGUGAGUUGGGGAGAGACUAAGACCAUGCUUUCUACUCUGGAAACUUGGUUUCCAACCAGUAAAGUAAGGUCUCCCAACAAAUGGAAUAAUGUGCCGUGUGGCUAUGAUGGGUGCAGAUAAUCAAUGCUCAGCACAUUUCCCCAGGGAAAGGUUUCCAGGAUGCCUUUUAAGGAAAGUAAUGAGCUGUUUGUUCCCUGGUUGUAGGAGAAGAGGGUGUUUGUUGAUCACACAUCUUUUUAAUUAGUUAUAGACACAGAUGGGGUUUUUUUCAUGUUUUUCUGACAUAUACUUACUUAUCUAAUGAAAGGUGCCCAGCAUAAAAAUGCAGGAGGCAGACUUCCUUCGCCACCACAGGCGUCUUCCCUGCUUCUGUAUGAUUGGUUUAAAGUGAACCGCCCUGAAAGAGACCAUCUCCAAAGCCCUGAAGGUCCUCCAUAGAUCAUUUCAGCCUAACGGGCCUUUUAUUUUCAUGCAGAUACAACACCAAGUGAGGUGCUCUAGGUGGGCCAAACACCACAGGUGUCAAGGAAGCUGUGUGUUAGGUUGUGUUCAUCCCAUGCAUAUUAGGGCUUUGUGUAACUUCAUGCUUCUCUCCUUCAGCAGCAAAGUAACUAUGCUUAGAAAAUCUGUUUGACCUUCUCUGAGCCCCAGCUUGUUUAUCUAUAAAAGGACGUCUAGACUGAAUGUUCCCAAGUUCCUCCCUGCUCUAAGCUCGCAAGCUGAAGUUUGUACACACAAGCAGGACCUCUGUGAAGGAGCAAAAGUCUGCUCCAUGCCCACCUGAUAACCUUCCUCGGUGCUCUUGUCUUCAGAGUUUGUUUCGAUCUCCUCUCUUGUCUGACAGGAACAGUUGGAUUUUUGCUGCAAGCUCCAGCUCAAAGGCCAUCUCCUCUCGGAGGCCUUUCCAGCUCUGUUCUUUUCCACAUGUGUGUGUCUGGGCAGACACAUGUAUCUGUCAGGGUCCCUCUAAUUCUAAAGAAUCUGAACAAUCUAAUUCUAGAAGGGCUCCUAGAGCACUUUACGCCACCUCAAUUUCAGUGGAGUCAUCAUUGCACGGCUAGUGAUGGGGUUCAGGACAUGCUAUGCAAAAUAUGGCACCCUGGCAUUUGAGAAAGCAGCAGACACAGAAAGUUCUCUCUGACCUUCUCCUACCCUUCUCCCCUGAAGCAGGCCAUCAGUGACUAAAGGAAGUAAUAAGAGCCUCUUGUGAUGGUACCCUCCCUCCACACCUGGAGGAAAGGAAUGUCCCUAUCUGAAAACAUGGGGACACAGAGAAGAAUCUGAGCAAACAGGCCUGGCUAGUUCUCCUCAAUUAAUAACCACUAGUGGGGUGGCUCACGUCUAUAAUCCCAGCACUUCGGGAGGCUGAGGCGGGUGGAUCACCUGAGGUCAGGAAUUUGAGACCAACCUGGCUAACACUGUGAAACUCCAUUUC